rnacentral:lncRNA from 1 species
GUAACAUAAAAUAAUUUAAACAAGAAUCUAUUAAUAGGAAGAGAUUGCGCAAUCUUUAUUUUAUUACUGACGAGUGAGGUGAGUAUACCCACAUCUUGGCGAAUGCAGCUCAUACCAAUGGAGAACGUUGUUAGGCGUAUAGGCUGUGAAAAAAAAUGAUUGCACAAGCAUAUCAAUUGUCUGUGAAUGAAAUUUUAUGUACUCCAUCAACUUCGAAUUUACUAAUGACUUCUGCACCAUCGCCUCAGCCUGUGAUUACUGUCUGCAGGCUCACUCCGGUGAUCUUAUUGAUUCAAUUAUAAAAAAAUCUCAAAUUUUAAUGUUGAGUGAAACUUGGUUAUAUGAUAAUGAGUCCUUUAAUAUACCAAAUUGCAAUUGUUUAAUUCAAUACAAACGAUUAAAUGUUUGA